GGUGGCCUAUUGGUUAGAGCGUCCGCCGCAGAUGCGGGAGGUCCCAGGUUAGAACCCCGGCAGAGUCA